GAGAACCGGCAACGUGGUUGAAAUAGAAAUGGUAACAAUAUUUUCAUUCCACCUUGGUAGUCAUCGACUUGAUGUAAAUAAACUACAUAUAUUAUUGCAAUUAUGUCUCAAGGACGUGGGUACCUUAUGGUUAUAUAUUAUGGUCUUGUAGGAAUGUUCCUGGUCGGCUUAUAAGGUUCCUUCAACUACAUUUAUAUGGUUAAUCAUCUUGCAAUCAUAAUAAAUGCCUUACAUUCACGAAGUGUAUCGCAAUAAAUGAGACAUGCAUAUGAAAAGUGUAGCAAACUUCAUAUUUAUAAUUAUCUACUAAAACAAGAAUUACAAAAUGUAGAUUUUUAUUCAGCAAAAUAAAGCAUUACCUAAGGACAAA